rnacentral:rRNA from 1 species
AACGAACGCUGGCGGCAUGCCUAACACAUGCAAGUCGAACGAGACCUUCGGGUAUAGUGGCGAACGGGUGCGUAACGCGUGGGAACCUGCCCUUAGGUUCGGAAUAACUCCCCGAAAGGGGUGCUAAUACCGGAUAAUGUCUUCGGACCACAGAUUUAUUGACUUUGGAUGGGCCCGCGCUGGAUUAGAUAGUUAGUAGGGUAAAAGCCUACCAAGGCGACGAUCCAUAGAUGGGCAGAGAGGAAGAUCAGCCACACUGGGGCUGAGAAGCGGCGCAGACUACUGCGGAAGGGGGGCAUGGCGGAUACUGGAAUGAGGGGGGAAGGCAGAAGCACCACGGGCGGGAAAGUGAUGAAGGCCGUAAGGAAGUGAAGCUCGUUUACCCCGGAGGAUAAUGACGGUACCGGGAGAAUAAGCUCCGGCUAACUCCGUG